rnacentral:rRNA from 1 species
UGGGGAAUAUUGCACAAUGGGCGCAAGCCUGAUGCAGCCAUGCCGCGUGUAUGAAGAAGGCCUUCGGGUUGUAAAGUACUUUCAGCGGGGAGGAAGGGAGUAAAGUUAAUACCUUUGCUCAUUGACGUUACCCGCAGAAGAAGCACCGGCUAACUCCGUGCCAGCAGCCGCGGUAAUACGGAGGGUGCAAGCGUUAAUCGGAAUUACUGGGCGUAAAGCGCACGCAGGCGGUUUGUUAAGUCAGAUGUGAAAUCCCCGGGCACAACCUGGGAACUGCAUCUGAUACUGGCAAGCUUGAGUCUCGUAGAGGGGGGUAGAAUUCCAGGUGUAGCGGUGAAAUGCGUAGAGAUCUGGAGGAAUACCGGUGGCGAAGGCGGCCCCCUGGACGAAGACUGACGCUCAGGUGCGAAAGCGUGGGGAGCAAACAGG